GACGAACGCUGGCGGCGUGCUUAACACAUGCAAGUCGAACGGAGUGGCGAACGGGUGAGUAACACGUAGGUGAUCUGCCUUGCACUUCGGGAUCAGCUUGGGAAACUGGGUCUAAUACCGGAUAGUGCAAGAUGAGCUGGGGGCCUAUUAGCUUGUUGGUGGGGUAAUGGCCUAACAAGGCGUCGGCGGGUAGCCGGCCUGGGAGCGUGUACGGGCACAUUGGGACUGAGGUACGGCCCAGACUCCAACGGGGGGCAGCAGGGGGGAAUAUUGCACAAUGGGCGGAAGCCUGAUGCAGCGACGCCGCGUGGGUGAUGAAGGCCUUCGGGUUGUAAACUCCUGUGGACAGGGACGCGGUACCUGUAUAAGAAGCACCGGCUAACUACGUGCCAGCAGCCGCGGUAAUAC
rnacentral:rRNA from 1 species